UAAAGGCUUGAAGAUAGGAGAGAUGGCACUGACCAGGUCUGUUAAUUGUGGAUAUCCUAUCUUGGUGAACAGCCUGAAAGACAAUGAGGAACACGAGUGUUGUUUAUCAUCCUGAUGCUCUUGAGCAGCACCAUGGGGAACAACACGGAAGUGAAUGUGAAGUGCUGAGGAUGCAGGGAGAAGUGAAAGGAAGAAGUGCCUUUGCAGCCCCCGUUCAAAUGCAUGUCACAUUGUGCCCUGGGACUGUGCUACUGUGCUGAUAUGCAAGUACAGGGUAGACCUGUGGCAACACUUUGGUUGUCUUCACAUCUUUGUAACUGGCUGUUUUCUACUUGUGUGUCUAGCUCAGCACAGUCGUGUUUGAAGGUAUUUGAGCCAAUGCAAACACUACUUAAAUGGCAAAGAUCAUAAGCAAACAAAGAAUUCUGUUCAAUCAAAUAAAAGACAUUUAAGCAAAUAGUA